AUGAGGGAGAAGAUUCUUGGACGCCAUCAAGUGGCCAUCUGGGGAACACCCAGGGCUAGAUUCUGUCUCAGUCACGAGAAGGCUGCUGUUGCUCGAGGUGCCACACUCAGACCCAACAAUGAUCAGCAAAAGAGGAUGACUCUUCCUGGGGGUCUAUUUUUGGGAAUGAGGAAACCUUUCUCAGAAGUCUCCCCAGGAGAUUCUCUCUCUCCCUCUCUGUCCCUUCCCCACUCAUUCGUUCUCUCUCUCUCUCUCCCUCUCAAAAUACAUAAAUAAACCUAAAAAAAAACCUACCACCAACAAAAAAAGAAGUCAGAACUUUAUCCAUACUGAACAAUCUCGUCUAGGGAAAUGAUACCCAACUAAUCAAAAUUUGCCCCCGAGCCAGUUUCUAGGGGAGGCGGGAGGUACAUAGAUGUUUGCACGAAAUCAAGAUUCUGUUAACAAAAAAGAGGGGAGAAACGUUGUGUGAAGGCACACAGAGGGGUGUGCAAAAAGCAGGAGCACAAUUAUAAGGUUUUUUUAGUAUGUUGGAAUUGGAGAUAAAGGUGUGGGCUUUGCUUGGGCGCAAUGUAGAAGGGUAAUGUGGCCGGCUGAGAUACAUAAAGUGAAUACUGACGUACUUAGACAGCAGGUAGGGAUUAUAGUUUGGUUUUGAGAAGGUGUUCUGUACCUGAAGUGGAGCAGCCCCCUCGCCACUGAGAGAGGAGCCAAGACAAAAAAUGGAAGAAGGUUCUAACCACACAGGUGUCCCGGUCACAGAACACAGGCUGGAGGCACGUUGGGAGCUACCAACCGCAUAGAGAACUAUAAUAGACAGGAGGGGAGUUGUCCCCGUCAGUCUCCGUACAACAAAGGUACUUCCCCCCCCCCCCCCCAUGGCAAAAGAAUGAUUCUAGUAAGAAUCAAGAAUAAUUAAUGCUGGGGCUGGCGGGACUUGUUUAAGGGAAGAAAAAGCCUUUUAGGUUUUUAAACCUAGGAAAUCACUUAAUGUUGUUAGCUUGAGUUCGAUGCAAUAGAGGUUUUAUAGUUGAAGCAUAAUUUAAUAUUUGCUGUCAUCAAAAGCCAGGCGUGUCUAAGAAGGUAUGCAUUUGUAAAAUUGUGGUGAGCGCAGGUCCCCCCGAGGAUGGCUGCUUCCUUAGAAGAAAGUGAGUGUCUCCCUCUUCCUGAUUUAUCAUGUCCAAGUAAUGGGCUGGGGACCAGCAUAACUCUAAUUUAUUUCAGAGGUCUGGUGGCCCUUGAGAGCACAAGAAGACAGACAGAUUAAGAAAUCUCAUUUGAGGCCUUUUAGUGAGGGGGAGGCCAACAGACGGCUGUUCACAUAUUGGAUGAGAACGGUUUCCAGGAAGUGUUAUGCUAUUUAAAUCACUUUUAAGACUUAAUGCAGGAGUUCCGGGCUGUAACUGCGGAUGAAACACGUACAUCUACAUUCAUUCCCUCUAAAACCCGUAUUAAAACCAUAGUAAACUGAUUUUUUAACAAACUACAAUAAAUCUACAAGGACAAGGAGAACA
rnacentral:lncRNA from 1 species